UACGAAGGGGGCUAGCGUUGCUCGGAAUCACUGGGCGUAAAGGGUGCGUAGGCGGGUUUUUAAGUCAGGGGUGAAAUCCUGGAGCUCAACUCCAGAACUGCCUUUGAUACUGAAGAUCUUGAGUCCGGGAGAGGUGAGUGGAACUGCGAGUGUAGAGGUGAAAUGCGUUGAUAUCAGGAGGAACACCCAUGGCGAAGGCAGCAUACUGGUCGGCAUCUGACGCUGAGGCGCGAAAGCGUGGGUAGCAAACAGG
rnacentral:rRNA from 1 species